GUUGAAAGCCGGGAAAUAACCCACCAAAUCUUACCUUUAGCCUUCUUGUACUAUUCGUACACGGCUCAAGGAGCGAUUUUAGGUGGGAGGAAAGUCCGGACAGCAGAAAGCAAGGUGUCUACCGAAAGGUGGAGAUCCCGCCCGCCGAUUCGGCGGGCGAGGAGACAGUUAGAGCAACAGUGACGAACCGAGGUAAUGCUCGGGUGAAACGGGCAAUCCUCCCUGCUGCAAUCUUCGAAAGGUUCGUUAUCAGGAUGCUUUCCCGAGAACCGAAGUCAAGAGCAUUAGAUAGAUAUUUCUUAAACAGAAUCCGGCUUAUGAGCUUUCAACCAUU
rnacentral:RNase_P_RNA from 4 species